AUGGUGCGGUGGAGUGAGAUCUGUAAGCCUCGCGAUCAGGGUGGUCUCGAGAUCAUGUCCUCCAAAUGCAUGAACAUUGCCCUCCUGACUAGGUGGCUUUGGUGGAUUGCGAACGGAGAGGGUGGCUUAUGGCUCCGCAUCAUCCAGCAGAAAUACCUCCGUGGCCAGUCGCUCGCCUUUUGUCAGCGGUCCGGUGGCUCCCAGUUCUGGCAAUCCAUCAUCCAGCUCCUCCCAGUCCUCCGCAUCGGGACCUCGAUUGCGGUUGGAUCUGGCACCGCCACGCUAUUUUGGUUCAUCGAUGGGCUGGAGACGCCCCCUUCGCGGCUCGUUUUCCAGACCUGUUCUCCAUUGCGGUAG
rnacentral:rRNA from 1 species